GGGGAAUUUUGGACAAUGGGGGAAACCCUGAUCCAGCCAUCCCGCGUGUAUGAUGAAGGCCUUCGGGUUGUAAAGUACUUUUGGCAGAGAAGAAAAGGUAUCCCCUAAUACGGGAUACUGCUGACGGUAUCUGCAGAGUAAGCACCGGCUAACUACGUGCCAGCAGCCGCGGUAAUACGUAGGGUGCAAGCGUUAAUCGGAAUUACUGGGCGUAAAGCGUGUGUAGGCGGUUGGAAAGAAAGAUGUGAAAUCCCAGGGCUCAACCUUGGAACUGCAUUUUUAACUGCCGAGCUAGAGUAUGUCAGAGGGGGGUAGAAUUCCACGUGUAGCAGUGAAAUGCGUAGAUAUGUGGAGGAAUACCGAUGGCGAAGGCAGCCCCCUGGGAUAAUACUGACGCUCAGACACGAAAGCGUGGGGAGCAAACAGGA
rnacentral:rRNA from 1 species